AUUAUAUGGUUGUCUUCUCGAGGCAAACAGCCUUUCCCGUGAAAGGAGGACACCUGGAAAGAACAUGAACCAGACCCUGACAGACGGACAGGCUUCUGACCUGCAGAGAGGACUCCAGAGCCAAGCAGCACACAUGCAGCCCCGCAAAUUAGAAAACAUCUAGAAAGGAAGAAGAGAUCAGCACAACUGCAGAACUACAAGAAGUCCAAGAGAUGGGGCCUGGAAGAGGCAAAAAAUCAGACAGAAUGGAGCCACUGUGACCCUGAAGGAAUCGUGAAAUCCUACUGGAAGGAAUUUCAUUAUAGUGGUUUCUGGGUCUGUUACUGCAUCAUAUGGAUCCUGCUUUACUCAUGGGGAGACGCAUAUCCUGUUAGAAGAGAAAUCCUGCUUCCCAGGUUUGUUCUCAUUCUUGAGUCAGUUGACUUUAAUGCUGAGCAUCUAUGCUGUGAUUGUUCCUGGGGAUCUGAACAGUGCAGUUGAGGCACAGUGGACCCGGAGCAGGAAGACUUGGUAUACAGGGCCUGUCCUAGGGCUUGGACAGGUCACCUGCCACCAUGGAGACCAUCAGCAGCAAGCUUAGAUCAGGACUUUGGUUCAUGGUCAGUUCUGUCUCACAGAUGGUAAAUGACUGUGCAAGUUAAUGUCAGCAACCCAACCCCACUGCUCUGGACUGGACUGUAUCCCCCCAAUUCAUAUGUUGAAGCCUUAACCCCCAGUGUGACUAUAAUUGGAGUUUGGCCCUACAGGGGGGGUCCUUAUGGUUAAAUGAGGUCAUAAGCAUGGAGCCUCAUCCAAUAAAACUGAUGUCUUUCUAAGAAGAGGAAGAUAAAUUAGAGAUCUCUCUCUACAUACAUGCACAGAGAAAAGGGCAUGUGAAGACACAAUGAGAAGGCAGCCACUUACAAGCCCAGAAGAGAGGCAGGCCUCACUGAUAAUCAACUUGAAUGGUACCUUGCUCUUGGUCUUCUAGCCUCCUGAACAGUGAGAAGAUAAAUCUGUUGUUUGAACCAACCAAUCUCUGG